UUUGAUUUCAACUUUCCCUCUCGUCUCAUUCCUCUCUUCCGCGUCUCUGAACCUCCAAAAGACUCGUUCCCUCUCAUCUUUAAUUUAUCGGCACUCCUCCCUCCAAACACUCUGAGAACACUGCUCCGCGCCCAUGCUUUUCCCGGCUCCGAGAACACUCCUCCCUCCUCGCGAUUGUGGUUGUGGUUUAGGCUAUAGAGAGAAGGAGAGCUAGGUUAAGGGAAGGUGAAGGCCAGCGAACUGAAAUCACUGUUCCUACGGCUGACCAAGUAGUUAUAGAACCUUCGGAGACUGCUUCUACCUUCGCUGCCUCUUCGUCGAAAUCUCCGAAGUCUGACCAAAAUGGUGGAGAUUGUGUUUGGAUUGAUGUGGAAAUCAGCGGUGUUAGCACGAGAGAGAGGAGGAGGAUGGGAUUUGGAAGGGUGAGACCUCGCCGACCUCGGUUUCGACGGAGUGUCCGAUGAUGGUAACAGACGAGACGAAGUUCGAAGGUUGUUCUCUCGCGAGGUUACCUUCUUUUGAUCCCGAGUUGAUUUGGGAAGUUAUGGCCGUUUGAUAGAAUGUUUUGUAGGUGAUGUGUAUAAUAUGAAAACGAAAAUGUCAAUGUUGUGUGGUUUUGUUUUGGUUUUUGUGUGGUGAGAGAGCGGUUUCUUAGCAUAUUGAGUGGAAUUGCAAUGGUUGUCGUUUGGGCCUUGGUUUUUUGCUUAAAUGCUCGCUUGAGGAGUUUUCCUUUUGCAGUUGUUGUGAUACAGAUCUCCCUGCAUUAUAAAUUUUCCUAUCACUGCAAUGCUACUCUGUUCUCUUCUCUUCUCUCCUUCAUCCUCGAUGAUUCAUCAAUCUCCUUGCCAGGCAUCAGUUCUUAAAGAUAGCCUGCCAAUUGGAAAAGAAGCACAUGCUUGGAGCAUUUUCGUUGCUCAAGGUUAUUGAGUCUGAGCUUCAAGCAUACUUGUCUGUAACUAAGGGACGGGUGGGUCAUUGCUUGGCCCUGAUCCAAGGUGCCUCUGAUGUUCAAGAACAAGGAGGAGUACAUGACAGUCAUAAAGCAUUUCAGAUGUGUCAUCUGGAGUAGAGCAGUUAUCAACAAGACAAUUAGCAUAAAAGCUUGAGAAAAUGAUGGAAAAUGAUUUUCUUUUGUAGCAUUUGCUUGUAUAUAUGUUUUUAUUUGAGGCCUAAGGGAAUCUUCAUUAAAAGUAUGUGCUAAAAAAAUGUUGAUGUGAAAUAUGAACAUGGCAACUGUAACUUCUGAUUCAAAGAUCAGUAACUGGAGUUAUUAGGGCAUAAAUUUUUCCCCAACCAUAAUUUUUUUCUUCGUAGGUUGUUUGAUAGUAGAGAGGGAAGAAUGAGUUUUCUUUUCAAUUUUAAAGUUCAUUUAUUUUUACCUAUUGUUAUUGUUUUGUUUGUGUUUUUUCUCUCAGGUUGUUAAGCGUUUUCAAGAAUUAUUUGCUCAGACCAAGUAUAAGGAAGCUGCAGAGCUUGCUGCACAAUCACCCCAAGGAGUACUUCGAACUCCUGAUACUGUUGCUAAAUUUCAGUGCAAGCUGGGCAAACACCACCACUGUUGCAAUACUUUGGAACUCUGUUAACCAUGGGAAAGCUUAAUGCUUUUGAGUCACUGGAACUGUGACGAGUUGUUGUAAAUCAGAACAAAAAGAAUCUUUUGGAAAAUUGGCUGGCAGAGGAUAAACUUGAAUGCAGUGAGGAGCUUGGUGACCUUGUGAAGACGGUGGAUAAUGACCUUGCUUUGAAAAUUUAUAUCAAAGCUAGAGCAACACCAAAAGUUGUUGCAGCUUUUGCAGAGAGGAGAGAAUUUGACAAAAUCUUGAUAUAUUCAAAGCAGAUCUUUAAUCAUUCAUCCCCUGAAAGUUGCAGACAUUGAAGACAUCAGAAGAAAUUGAGCUUCUUUUAUUUUAAGUGUUAGUAGAAAUUUUAAGUGUUUGUAGAAAUUUUAAGUGUUAGUAGAAAUUUGGUUACAAUUCAAUAGUGUAUGUACAUUAAUUUAACAGUUGGAUUUAAUAUAUAGUUUCAUGUAUAAAUGAUCUAUUA